AGUGAACGCUGGCGGUAGGCCUAACACAUGCAAGUCGAACGGCAGCACAGUAAGAGCUUGCUCUUACGGGUGGCGAGUGGCGGACGGGUGAGGAAUACAUCGGAAUCUACUUUUUCGUGGGGGAUAACGUAGGGGAACUUCCGCUAAUACCGCAUACGACCUACGGGUGAAAGCACGGGAUCUUCGGACCUUGCGGCGUUGAAUGAGCAGAUGUCGGAUUAGCUAGUUGGCGGGGGAAAGGCACACCAAGGCGCCGAUCCGUAGGGGGUCUGAGAGGAAGGUCCCCCAGACUGGAACUGAGCACCUGUCCACACUCGUACGGGAGGCAGGAGUGAGGGAUAUUGGUGAAUGGGCGUAAGCCUGAACAAGCCAAGUAGCGUGCAGGAUGACGGCCCUAGGGGUUGUAAACUGCUUUUAUGCGAGGAUAAAGGGACCCACGGGUGGGUUUUUGAAGGUACCGCAUGAAUAAGGACCGGCUAAUUCCGUG
rnacentral:rRNA from 1 species